rnacentral:rRNA from 1 species
GCUCCAAUAGCGUAUAUUAAGUUGUUGCAGUUAAAAAGCUCGUAGUUGGACUUCUGGGCUCGGUCAGCGGUCCGCCGCAAGGUGUGUACUGUGGAUCGUGCCUUUCCUCUCGACGUUCACGGGUGCUCUUAACUGAGUGCUCGUGGGACUCGGGACCUUUACUUUGAAAAAUUAGAGUGUUCAAAGCAGGCUUUCGCUUG